rnacentral:antisense_RNA from 1 species
AGUUAGCCUGCUCGCGAUAGCGGUGUGUCAGACACUUCAGUAUCGACUGACAUUCCGCUAUCGCGAGCAGGCUCACU